ACUCGGAAAAAAGGCAGUGAUGAUGUGAUAUUCGACUUAAUUGUUUGUUCUGUGCAGCAACCAGAAUGAAAGGAGACCAGACUAGGAUUUUGCCUUCGUGAAGAAAAGCCUCGCUGAUGGCUGCGAGGCAUUAAUGUUUCUGUGUGAAUGUGGCUGUUUGGUGCUGAGAAAACAGGCAUAGCCACAAUAUCUUCUAUCCACGAAGACGACUUCCUUACCCGCUAUGGUCAUCUUCAGUGCCAAUAUCUUCAAUUCUCACGUUUGGAGUGAUCAUGUCAGUGUUUGGCUCUCUGGCUGUUGCCGUUUUAAUAUCUGUGACUCUGCAACUUCUCAUUGAACUUCAUGGAAUAUAUGGCAAUAUGCGUUGUUCCCGCCAAGAACUAUGCAACCACAGUAUAAUGUUGAGUACAGAUACUCGAGCUAGAAGAAUAGAAUACAGAAAAUGGACCACCGUGGAAGCUGCAGAGCAGAGGGCCAAACACAGUCAUGGGUGCUUCAAUAUGCCACAGUAACCAUGAAAGCCGCAGGACGAAGCCCAAAAUGGUGAGGGACUCGUCCAGCUGAGUAGAGUAGAGUUCGAAGCAAGGGAUUGAUGAUCAAGCUGGAUGUAAAGGAUUCCCGAGAAAAAUUGAAGAUAUUGGCAUCAAAGGGCAAGGAGCUCGUCUUCGUGGAUAGAAGCUGUUGUGGCUAUGGCUCUCCCUGUUACUUAGGUUUCUAUACAGAGCAAAAGACGAAUCAUGGUCUAAUUACAAAAUGGAAAAUUUUAUGCGGAUUGGCCUCUCAUGUAUGUAUAUUUAGACUCUUAUCUUUAUGUCAUGCAGGGCCUUUUGCAGUCAUAGGAAAGUUACAGAUAUUAUGCAGGACCAUCUACUUGAAAUAUGAUGGUAUUACGUAAACUGCAUCCUUGGAGGUUCUAUCAUUUCACGUUUUGUAUUGAUCAGUUUCUCCGUAUCUUUUACAUAUACCUGCAACUAAAUUAGCUUUUACUAUUCAAAAGCGUGCAGAUAGAUUAUUUUGGGCUUAAGAUAUGGAUCUCUUGAUGAUAUUCACAGAUUGAUAUUCUUCGUCAAAUCCUUAUAGUGAAAUUUGUAAAGAAAGAUUUGGUUGCAAAUCUGAGUUUGCUGUACUAGUUAGGUAAACCAGCUAGCAGAUUCAUGUGCGUGACUGAUAUUUCUUUAAUCAUUUAUCAAUGUUUUUCACAUACA